rfam:Ciona savignyi cont_37650, whole genome shotgun sequence.
AGCUUUGCGCAGUGGCAGUAACAUAGCUGAUGAGGUUUAUCCGAGGCGUGUUUAUUGCUAGUUGAAAACUAUACCCAAUACCCCGCCCU